rnacentral:rRNA from 1 species
GACAGAGGUGCCAAGCGUUAGGCGGAAUCACUGGGCUUAAAGCGUGUGUAGGCGGACUGGUAAGUACCUUGUGAAAUCCCACGGCUUAACCGUGGAACUGCUUGGUAUACUGCUGGUCUUGAGCCAGCUAGGGGCGAGCGGAACAGACGGUGGAGCGGUGAAAUGCGUAGAUAUCGUCUGGAACGCCGAAGGUGAAAACAGCUCGCUGGGGCUGCGCUGACGCUGAGACACGAAAGCCAGGGGAGCGAACGGG